UUGCAAUGACGACAACUUAGGACACCUUUGAAACUACUGUGAAAACACUAUGCAAAACGAUCUGAGCAAC
ensembl:snoRNA SNORD58 Small nucleolar RNA SNORD58